ensembl:miRNA
AACAAGGCAGAGAACAGGCCAGCCUGGGGCCUUGAGGAGCUAGUUAGAGUGCCUGUCAAGUGUGGGUCUAGGGGGAGCUGCUGGGCCUCUAAGUGUCUUCUCCCUAGAGCCUAGAGGCGCUGGUGUCCUGUGCAUGCCACGGGGC